rnacentral:rRNA from 1 species
UACAGAGGUCUCGAGCGUUGUUCGGAUUCAUUGGGCGUAAAGGGUGCGUAGGUGGCGCUGUAAGUCAGGUGUGAAAUUUCGGAGCUUAACUCCGAAACUGCAUUUGAUACUGCGGUGCUUGAGGACUGGAGAGGAGACUGGAAUUUACGGUGUAGCGGUGAAAUGCGUAGAUAUCGUAAGGAAGACCAGUGGCGAAGGCGGGUCUCUGGACAGUUCCUGACGCUGAGGCACGAAGGUCAGGGGAGCAAACGGG